GACGAACGCUGGCGGCGUGCUUAACACAUGCAAGUCGAGCGGAAAGGCCCUUUCGGGGGUACUCGAGCGGCGAACGGGUGAGUAACACGUGAGUAAUCUGCCCUUGGCUUUGGGAUAACCACCGGAAACGGUGGCUAAUACCGGAUACGACCACUCCCGGCAUCGGGUGGUGGUGGAAAGUUUUUUCGGCCAGGGAUGUGCUCGCGGCCUAUCAGCUUGUUGGUGGGGUAAUGGCCUACCAAGGCUUCGACGGGUAGCCGGCCUGAGAGGGUGACCGGCCACACUGGGACUGAGACACGGCCCAGACUCCUACGGGAGGCAGCAGUGGGGAAUAUUGGACAAUGGGCGGAAGCCUGAUCCAGCAACGCCGCGUGAGGGAUGACGGCCUUCGGGUUGUAAACCUCUUUCAGUACCGACGAAGCGCCGAUGAUGGCGGUGACGGUAGGUACAGAAGAAGCACCGGCCAACUACGUGCCAGCAGCCGCCGUAA
rnacentral:rRNA from 1 species